UCAUCAAGGACAUCAUCGUCAUCAUCGUCAUCAACAUCCUCGCUCGGGCUCGCGCCGGUGCACGAGGCAGAAGAAGCUCGCGAAGAAGGUUCAACCGCCGAGGCCACGCUCGCGCAGCAUCGGGUAUAGUCCGGGUCCCAGCCGUGCAUCGAGGAGUUGUCGUCGGGUGCCCCCAGAUACGACCUCGCCUCCUCUUCCUCUCCUCCCGUGGCAUGUCCAGUCCCCGGCAGGUCCUGCGAACCGUCCUCAGGGCAGCGUGCCAACCCUUCCGCUGGCUGCUGCGACAACUGGCCGCCGCCGCCGCCGCCGCUUCCGAGGAGAACGAGGAGCAGCGUGCGAACGCGUCCGUCACGUCGUCCUGCUGGUCUCAGUUGGGCGCCUGGCUCGGGGGUCGCAAGAUGGAGGCUCUGCUGUUCGCCUACACCGCGGCGGCCACCAUGCCGGCGGCGGCCAUCACGGCCAUCUUCCGGGAGCAGUCCUGCCGGAGCCUGUCGUUCGCCAAGGGCGUGUGCGAGAACAUCGCCAAGCACGAAUACGAGCGCUACAAGGCGUACGUGGUCUCUAGCCGCUACCUGCUCCUGUCGGAAGGCUUGCUCACGAUCACCUCCGCCGUGGUCGCCAUCCUGGCGGGCCCGGUGUGCGACAAGUACGGACACCGGACGCUCGUGAGCUUCGCCAUAGCCGGUGCCGCGGGCACCACCCUCUUGCGCGUCUUCAUCGCCUUGGGAAGUGGCGACAUGCUGGCCUACGUGUUUGCGGUGCUGCCCAUGGGCCUAACAGGUGGUCACGUGCUCAUGCUGGCCUGCUGCUACUACGUGGUGACGAAACGCACCGAAGCUAGGCUCUUUCGAACCAUCAGGUUUUACCUCCUCGAGGUGUCCGCGCUCUUGGGCCACGCCGUGGGCUGGCUCGUGGGCUGGCUCCUGCACUCGGUGCUCGGCCACCAUGUGUCGCUGUGGACGGCGCUGGGGGUGCAGUGCUGCCUGCUGGCGACGAUGUGGGCGAGCCCCUUCCACAGGGACUCCUCGGCGAGCACUGCGGCGCAGCCGAACCAGCUGCGGCUCCUGGUCAGCCCGGACAACGCGCGCGAGGCGGCCAAGAUGUUCGGCGGCCACCGGCACAUCCGGGGCACGCUCAAGCUGCUGUUCGCGCUGCAGGCGCUCAUCGCCGCCAUCAAUUAUGGUCCCGACGAGAUCCUGUAUCCGUACACCCGCCUGGUGUACCGCUGGUCGUACUCGCACUUCGCGCUCGUCUCGGCCAUCGGCGGCCUGCUGGUCGGCGUGAUCGGCGUGUUCGCCGUCGGCUGCAUGCGCUUCGGCGGCGUCAACGACGUCACGUUCGUGAACAUCGGAGCCGUCUUCGGAGGCGUCCGCGACCUCAUCAUCGGCGUGGCGCAGCUGCCCGCCGUGUUCUACAUCAGCUACAUCUUGGCAGUACCCCAAGGAGUCGCACCGGUGGGCCUCAAGUCGUACUUCUCCAAGCUGGUUCCUGCAGACGAAUGCGGCAAGUUCAUGGCCCUGGUGACCGCCUGCGAGUCGGUGUUCACCGUGCUCAGCCGAGUGGUGCUGUCAUUCACCUUCGACAUCGCAUCGACCAUCUUCACGGGCCUGCCAUUUAUCGUAUGCGCCGCACUGGCCAUACCCGUCAUCGCAAUCUCAGGGUUCCUCAACCCAACGCCGGAAUCGAGCAGCUCGAGUAGUGCCAGCGUGCCUGCACCGGCUGGCGAGCGAGGUGCGGACGACGGUGGUGCCGCCGGAGCAGCCGAGGUACCGGGUUCGGCUGCCGAACCGGUAGCGGCUGGCGGCGUCAUCCCCGAGCCUUUGCGGAAGCUCGGGGGUGCCUUGGCUGUGCCAGCGGUGGUGCAGGCUGCUCAGGCACAGGCGGUACGCGUCCUGCCGGCCGCCGCUCACAAGGUGGCUGCCGCCGUCCUCCAUCCGGGGCAGCAGCAGCAGCGCCCCCUUCCGAAGGCGGCGCCCGCUGCUCGGUCGUGAUGGGUCUGCCUGCCUCCGCCCCCGCCCUGGAACAAAAGCCAUCUGCAGCAGAACAACUGUAGUUUCUGCACCAGAGAGAGCGCUAUCCGGGACAACAGACUCAACAUCACGGAAGAAACGUUGUCGCACCUUCUCUACCAGCACCUGGAACUGCUUCUGCACGUGCAGGAACACGCGAGCCGGAACUCCAAGCUGCUCCAGGAUGGUGAUCAAGGGCCGACUGAGGUACACUGGACCUGCCAGAAACGAGCUUGCUGCAGAAGCUGGACAAUCCCAUGCACAAGUUUGAUGGUCGAUGCGAAAUACAGCAAGGGGGGUUCAAAAGAGAGAAACAUACCUAACCUAACCUAGAGAAACAAACCUAACCUAACCACACAGUGUGUGUUUUGAAAACUGCGACACACACCUGCUCUCUAUUUUUUUCACAAGAAAGAAUUUUUCAGGAUCCUCUGUGGCAGAUAGUGCAAUUAUAGUCUUUGAGCUGAAUUACUCGAAGAGUUAGGCAUCACUUGCACGAGAGAUCGAAAUACAUGCUUGGCUAAUCAGCAAAUUUUCUAUAAUAAACUUUCUACUUCAUUGCUUUGUGCACGUAUUUCAAUUCACAAACCGAACCCAGUGAUUUCACAAGGCACGUCCACUUGGAAUGAAUGUUGAAACUAGCACCAGGUUUGAGAUAAGUGCCGUCAAACUUGCAGUAAAACUACAAUGUUGUUCCACAAGCUUUCGUAACAAAAUGCCUUUUUGUGCCACAAACGUAAAAAAUGACUGGUGCACCAAUGCGAUUCGUUAUACACUUCGGGAACCCAUAUUUUGAAGCUGGUGUCAUCC